rnacentral:lncRNA from 1 species
CCCGCUGCCCAUCUUCUGUCUCGUACUCCCCGAGCAGUGCCCAAACGGAGCUCCUUUGGUGCUGAGGUCCUUCCUGCGUGCCACGUCUGUGGUUUUUGUUCUUACUGUGCGCUGAGGCGCAACUCAGCCCUCACCUGGUGGUUGUCCGGUGUAGGCAUGAACCGCGAGGGGACGCGGAGCUGCCGAAGGACCCCAGUGAACACAUCUGAAGCAAAGUAGAGCUACUUCAUUUUGAAACAGCUUCUUGAACUGAGGGGAACUAGAAAGGCACUGCCAGAGCAUAUGGAGAUCAAGACUCAUCGCUAAGCGGGUCGGCACAUUGUGAGACAAAUGAAAGGGGCAAUGCAUGUGCUAGGUGCCAUGUAAAGAGGCUGUGAGCUGCGAGGUCUAGCAGGAAGAAGGCUGCUCCAAAAUGAAUGAACCAUCUGAGAAAAGCGUCUCUGUAUUCUGUAAUUUGAGUGUGGCUCCUGUGACAUUCAGCAAACUUUGCAUCAGCUGCUAGAUUUUGGAGAAACCCACAUAAGUGAUGAUUUUAAACGGAGAUUUGAUAAUCCAGCAGGUGAGAAGCUGCAGAAAACCCACGUGGUAUCAUGACUGAUAAUAGAGUGAAGACGGAGCUUCUAAUUCAAGACACAGAGUGGUGAAUGUUAGUUUGUUGGGAAGCCAGGGGAAACAGGAGAAAAUGUGGCCCUGUAAAUCCAGUUAUGCUUCCAAAAAUAUACCACAGGAACAUUAGAUGCUAUUGGGAACACACAUAGUAGAGCUAAGUGCUCAGCAAAGCAUGCUAACCUAAUUUCAUGAUUACAUGAAAGAAGAAAACCCUGACUCAUAUUUUAUUAAAAUUGUUAUGGUGAAUCAGCAAAUUACUCUGUUUAUCUCCUUCAACGUCAGCACACUGAAGUCUGGAGCAACUUGAACUGAUCUCACUGCCCUUGUAAAUAGAAUACAUUCAGACCAGCUGAAGCUGGACUAAAUGGAAACAAGGAGUAAUUCAUCACCAAGGACAGCUGGGAAGCUCAGAAAAAUGCUAUUUCCUGACUGUCCUGGCAGAAAGGAAGACAGGCACUGUGUGUGCCUUUCAUCUCUGACUCCUUUGUCAUGCCAGAUCCCAAAUACAAACAUUUACACUCAAAAACUUUGUGGCCAUUUUAACAAGAUCUCCCCAUAUGGCAAGUGCCGGCCUUUCUACACAUAUACCCUUUUAUUCAUUUCCCUGUGGUGGCAGAGAAGGAAAUACAACUGCACAGAAAUGUAUAACCUGAUCUGGCUUGUUUAAUUGCAAAUCCAAUCUUCUCUCUCAGUAAAGCAAGCUGGGACGUCGGCAGCCCCAUCUGUAGUACCGCAUACCUCCAUGAGGAGGAGUCGUAGGAAAAAAACAACAAACCGACCUUAGUACCAAAAGGCAGAUGCACGUUUUAGAACUUGGAGUGGGUCCUGAACCAGAUCUCCCAUUUCCACCAAAG